rnacentral:rRNA from 1 species
CAGCAGCCACGGGAAUACGAAGGGUGCAAGCGUUAAUCGGAAUUACUGGGCGUAAAGCGUGCGUAGGCGGUGAGUUAAGUCUGCUGUGAAAUCCCCGGGCUCAACCUGGGAAUGGCAGUGGAUACUGGCUCGCUAGAGUGUGUCAGAGGAUGGUGGAAUUCCCGGUGUAGCGGUGAAAUGCGUAGAGAUCGGGAGGAACAUCAGUGGCGAAGGCGGCCAUCUGGGACAACACUGGCGCUGAGGCACGAAAGCGUGGGGAGCAAACAGGAUUAGAUACCCCAGUAGUCCCUGUCUCUUAUAC